rnacentral:rRNA from 1 species
GACGAACGCUGGCGGCAUGCCUAACACAUGCAAGUCUAGGGGUAGCAAUACCACUGGCGCACGGGUGAGUAACACGUAGGUUAUCUGCCCCCAUCACAGACAUAACCCCGGGAAACCGGGGCUAAUAUCUGAUGAGGUCGCGAGAUCAAAGCUUCGGCGGAUGGGGAUGAGCCUGCGGCUGAUUAGCUAGUUGGUGAGGUAAUGGCUCACCAAGGCGACGAUCAGUAGCCGGUCUGAGAGGACGAACAGCCACACUGGAACUGAGACACGGUCCAGACUCCUACGGGAGGCAGCAGUGAGGAAUAUUGGUCAAUGGGAGCAAUCCUGAACCAGCAAUGCCGCGUGUGGGAUGACAGGGCUUCGCCUUGUAACCACUGUCGGACGGGACGAAAGAGGCCUCGGCCUCUGGGACGGUACCGUCAAAGGAAGGGUCGGCUAACUAC